rnacentral:rRNA from 1 species
GACGAACGCUGGCGGCGUGCUUAACACAUGCAAGUCGAACGAAAAGACGGAAAGAGCUGCUCUUUCAGAAUUGAGUGGCAAACGGGUGAAGUAACCACCGUAAACCAACCUGCCUUCAGGAAUGGGACCAACAGACGGAAACGACUGCUAAUACCCGAAUUAAGUUCCAAAGAGCCCGCAUGGCCCAUGGAAGAAAAGGUGGCCUCUACCUGUAAGCUAUCGCCUGAAGAGGGGUUUGCGUCUGAUUAGCUGGUUGGAGGGGUAACGGCCCACCAAGGCGACGAUCAGUAGCCGGUCUGAGAGGAUGAACGGCCACACUGGAACUGAGACACGGUCCAGACUCCUACGGGAGGCAGCAGUGGGGAAUCUUCCGCAAUGGGCGAAAGCCUGACGGAGCAACGCCGCGUGAGUGAUGACGGCCUUCGGGUUGUAAAACUCUGUGAUCCGGGACGAAAAGGCAGAGUGCGAAGAACAAACUGCAUUGACGGUACCGGAAAAGCAAGCCACGGCUAA